GACGAACGCUGGCGGCGUGCUUAACACAUGCAAGUCGAACGAAAAGGCCCUGCUUUUGCGGGUUGCUCGUUUGCCGAACGGGUGUUUAACACGUGAUUACCAUCCCCUUAUCUUUGUGUUAUCUUCUGGAAACUGGGGCUCUUACCGCGUAUAAUCUCUUGCUCCAUGUUGGUGGUUGGAAAAUUUCGGCGGUUGUGGAUGGACUCGCGGCUUAUCCGCUUGUUGGUGGGGUAGUGGCUUACCAGGGCUUUGACGGGUAGCCGGCCUGAGAGGGUGACCGGCCACAUGGGGACUGAGAUACGGCCCAGACUCCUACGGGAGGCAGAAGUGGGGAAUAUUGCACAAUGGGCGGAAGCCUGAGGCAGCAACGCCGCGUGCGGGAUGACGGCCUUCGGGGUGUAAACCGCUUUCGCCUGUGACGAAGCGUGAGUGACGGUAAUGGGUAAAGAAGCACCGGCUAACUACGUG
rnacentral:rRNA from 1 species